GUGCCAGCAGCCGCGGUAAUACGUAGGUGGCAAGCGUUGUCCGGAAUUACUGGGCGUAAAGGGAGCGUAGGCGGCUAUUUAAGUGAGAUGUGAAAUACCCGGGCUCAACUUGGGAAUUGCAUUUCAUACUGGGUAGCUAGAGUGCAGGAGAGGAAAGUGGAAUUCCAAGUGUAGCGGUGAAAUGCGUAGAGAUUUGGAGGAACACCAGUGGCGAAGGCGACUUUCUGGACUGUAACUGACGCUGAGGCUCGAGAGCGUGGGGAGCAAACAGGAUUAGAUACCCUGGUAGUCCACGCUGUAAACGAUGAAUACUAGGUGUAGGGGGCGAAGCCCUCUGUGCCGCAGUUAACACAUUAAGUAUUCCGCCUGGGGAGUACGAUCGCAAGAUUAAA
rnacentral:rRNA from 1 species